ensembl:snRNA U4 U4 spliceosomal RNA
AGCUUUGCGCAGUGACAGUAUCGUAGCCAAUGAGGUUUAUCCGAGGCGCGAUUAUUGCUAAUUGAAAACUUUUCCCAGAAUGUCCAGAGUACAGGGAUAAGCAGGUGAAACCAGGGCAUUUCUUAACAUGCUGUAGUGCU